UACAUAGGGGGCAAGCGUUGUCCGGAUUCAUUGGGCGUAAAGAGCGUGUAGGCGGCCAGGUAGGUCGGUUGUGAAAACUGGAGGCUCAACCUUCAGAGGUCGACCGAAACCAUCUGGCUAGAGUCCGGGAGAGGAGAGUGGAAUUCCUGGUGUAGCGGUGAAAUGCGCAGAUAUCAGGAAGAACACCCGUGGCGAAAGCGGCUCUCUGGAACGGUACUGACGCUGAGACGCGAGAGCGUGGGGAGCGAACAGG
rnacentral:rRNA from 1 species